AACCUGUAACUUACUAAUUGUGAACUCGUACCAGGUCAUGUACUCCCAGUUAGUUUUGACGUCACACACAUACACAAACAACAAUGGCGACCCCUCUUGAUGCUGUACAGACGCCGUGAGAAAUAG